rnacentral:rRNA from 1 species
AAAUUGAAGAGUUUGAUCAUGGCUCAGAUUGAACGCUGGCGGCAGGCCUAACACAUGCAAGUCGAACGGUAACAGGAAGCAGCUUGCUGCUUUGCUGACGAGUGGCGGACGGGUGAGUAAUGUCUGGGAAACUGCCUGAUGGAGGGGGAUAACUACUGGAAACGGUGGCUAAUACCGCAUAACGUCGCAAGACCAAAGAGGGGGACCUUCGGGCCUCUUGCCAUCAGAUGUGCCCAGAUGGGAUUAGCUUGUUGGUGAGGUAACGGCUCACCAAGGCGACGAUCCCUAGCUGGUCUGAGAGGAUGACCAGCCACACUGGAACUGAGACACGGUCCAGACUCCUACGGGAGGCAGCAGUGGGGAAUAUUGCACAAUGGGCGCAAGCCUGAUGCAGCCAUGCCGCGUGUAUGAAGAAGGCCUUCGGGUUGUAAAGUACUUUCAGCGGGGAGGAAGGUGUUGUGGUUAAUAACCGCAGCAAUUGACGUUACCCGCAGAAGAAGCACCGGCUAACUCCGUGCCAGCAGCCGCGGUAAUACGGAGGGUGCAAGCGUUAAUCGGAAUUACUGGGCGUAAAGCGCACGCAGGCGGUCUGUCAAGUCGGAUGUGAAAUCCCCGGGCUCAACCUGGGAACUGCAUUCGAAACUGGCAGGCUUGAGUCUUGUAGAGGGGGGUAGAAUUCCAGGUGUAGCGGUGAAAUGCGUAGAGAUCUGGAGGAAUACCGGUGGCGAAGGCGGCCCCCUGGACAAAGACUGACGCUCAGGUGCGAAAGCGUGGGGAGCAAACAGGAUUAGAUACCCUGGUAGUCCACGCCGUAAACGAUGUCUACUUGGAGGUUGUGCCCUUGAGGCGUGGCUUCCGGAGCUAACGCGUUAAGUAGACCGCCUGGGGAGUACGGCCGCAAGGUUAAAACUCAAAUGAAUUGACGGGGGCCCGCACAAGCGGUGGAGCAUGUGGUUUAAUUCGAUGCAACGCGAAGAACCUUACCUGGUCUUGACAUCCACAGAACUUUCCAGAGAUGGAUUGGUGCCUUCGGGAACCGUGAGACAGGUGCUGCAUGGCUGUCGUCAGCUCGUGUUGUGAAAUGUUGGGUUAAGUCCCGCAACGAGCGCAACCCUUAUCCUUUGUUGCCAGCGAUUAGGUCGGGAA